GAGGAGCCCCAAGGCCACCACAGGGAAGUCCCCAGAGAGCAUGUGUUGUUCAUCUCUCAUCAGGACCUUCCAAGUUCCAAGGUGUUUCUUGAGCAUCAGAGAGGCAACAAGUCCUGGAAUGCACCCUUGUCUGACCCUCCUAACUCAUCCAAGAAUCCCCUAAGAUGAACUAGAACACGGGGUUUCAGUUGUCAAAGUCUGACCCGAAAAUGCUCAUUACUCUAAAUGCAGGCCCGUCCCAUACCAGUUUACAAGGGUUGGUGUGGAAUGAACAAGGAGGGGAAGCUGUGGGGCUGCCAAGCUGGGCACAUGUCAAGCACCAACUGGCACCACUGCCUCCUGCUUCCUGGUGCCACUCCAGCCGGGGCUGCCCCCCCUGUGCCUGACAGCUUCCAAUGUUGCUUUCCUGCUCCCAUGAGAUGGCAAGUCUGGCAACAGAAUUGGAGCUGGUCUUAAGGAGGAAGAGGAAAGAACUUCAGCUCUGGCACCUGCAGACCUCCAAGGUUUACCUACGGAAGCUGGCAGCGGGGACUGCAAUUGACCAUUCUCUCACCUUUCCCUUCUGGCAGCUCCCCAAGCCUAGCCCUGGCGGGAAGAGGAUUACCUGAGAACCAGAAGCCCCAGCUCCCAGCACUUCACUGACCUACCAUGCAUCCCUUUCGUACAUUAUACAGCCCAGCUCUCAGUUUCCCCUUCUUCGGGAUAACAGGCGUACUUGUCCAAGAACAGCAAUCAUUCCAGGGCCACUGCCGAGGCUGGUUAGUGGAACACAUGGCUGAAAGGAUUGCAUGUUGCUCAGGAUUCUGGGCCACAUCCAGUGGUCGGGGUGCUUGGUUCACUGGCAAUAUCUGCCUUGGACUCAGAGGGAAGCAUGGUAGACCAGGUGCCACGUCACUGCCACGCAGGAGCUAAAGGACCUUUGUACCAUGGAACAUUCCACUGCUUGGAUUCUAUGGGAUGAGAUCUGACAGCCACACAGCAGAAUUUACCAGCUGGGAAGCUCGUGGAUUCUUCUGCAGAAACUCGAGUUAGGCUGAUGAAUUACCUUUACUGAAGGAAUGAAUAACAAUAACAAAAUUCUACGUCCAAGACGUACCAAGAAAGGCUGGAUAUAUCAGACAAUACGUUUAAAGGAGAGGUGUUUUGGGUGACCUGCUAUUUUGCUGUCCAGCUUGAGAUGAUGCCAACAGCCAUAGAGUAAUAAAAGGGCCACUGAAUGUGGCCUCUUUCCCAUGGUUCCCCAGCAGCAAGCAUUCUCUGCCACCUCUUUAUCUGGAGCAGGAAUUCUAGCAGGAAGACCCAGCCUCCAGCACCGGGUGACCAGAAGAUUCAAGUGGGACUGGAUUACUGACAAAAUGUUCCCAGCCAGGAUCCUGUCAGGGAAAUUACAGCAGGUGCUCAUCAAGUGGGAGUUCUCUGUAAGCCCUUUGGUUUAUCUGAUAGUCUUUCUUUACAAAUGGAAGGAAGAGCAAUGCAUUUCAUCUGUUAUUCAUUCAGCAAACAUGAAUUGAACACCCUCCCUUUCUAUCCCCUUUCUACCCUCCCUUUCUGCCUCCUUUCUACUCCCACCUCUAGGCCAGAAAUAAAAUCCUGCACAUCCCACAGUUAGUUGAGGUUUGGCCCACACUAUGUUUCUUGAAAAACAAAUGAAUUAGCUGCUAACAUCUAAAGAUCCGGGAUUUCACAUAAAUAUCCAGACUUUUGACUUAUGAUGAUAUUAUUGUCUAUAUACACACAUCAGUUUCAUCGACAGUUCCUGGUUCAUAACUCCCAUAGCCCUUGUUACAGUCUGUUAUUACAAGAUUAGCGUAUGUUAGGCCUCUACCCAGGCCUCAGAAAACAGAAUCUUUCUCCCUGACCUUCUCCAGCUUUCUUUUCACCGGCUCGUUUUUCUCCCUAAGGCAGGUCUUAGCACCUAAAACUAUGUUCUAAUCUUCCCCUGCCUCUGCCCCUAAAGAAAUUCUCUGACUGACCUUGCGUAACUGCGCGUCAUAAAACUCCACUUCAGAAGGGGUCCUGCCCCAUACCCUGCAGGAAGGAAUGCUGUACAGAGCGGCCAAGAAGAAUCUCAACAGACGGGCACUGCUGGGUUUCCCCACUCAGCUUAUCAGCACUCGAUCAUUCCCUUUUCGUUCAGUUGCGCUUCCACACGGCUGUCCGUGCUUCCCUCGUGCCUAUCCAAUGAGGUCUCUGUAAAAGGCCCAAGAGGGUGGAGUUUGGAGAGCUUCCAUAAAGCAGAGUAUGUGGCGGUUCCUGGAGGGUGGGGCGCCCGCGGAGGGCAUGGAAGCUUCACGCCCCCUGUCCCAUACCUCCCCCCACGCAGCUCUUCAUCUGUAUCCUUUGUUAUAUCCCUUAUAGUCAACAGGUAGAUGUAUGUAAAUGUUCUCUGAGUUCCGAAAGCUGCUCUAGCAAAUUAAUUGAACCCAAAGAGAGGGGUCCUGGGAGCCCCGACUCACGGCCAGCUGGUCAGAAGCACAGGUCAAACAACCUGGGGCCUGCAAUUGGCAUUGGAAGCGGGGCCCGGUCUCACAGGACCGAGCCCUCAACCUGUGGGAGCUGACGCUGUCUCCAGGUGGAUGGUGUCAGGCUUGAACUGGAGGACACCUGGCUGGUGUCUGCUGCAGAGCGGACUGCUAGCUUGUUGCUGGGGAGAAAAGCCCCACGCAUCUGGUGUCAGAAACACGUUACAAGAGUGUAGUAAGAGAGGCCAGGAGUGGCGGCUCACGUCUGUAAUCCCAGCACUUUGGGAGGCCAAGGCAGGCGGAUGACCUGAGGUCAGGAGUUCAAG